CUCCCUUUUCUCAUUCCUAGCAUGCAUCCGAGAGAGGGAGAGAGAGAGUCAUGGCGAUGUUGUAGAUCCCCUCGCCGCCGCAUCUGCCUGCUGAUGUCUGCUGCAUCUCCCGCCUUGAGGAAAUCGUCUUGAAUAAUUCCGGGCCUGAACUGAUCUGAAAUGCUUUUGAAGAUGCUAACGGUGCAUUUCCAAUGUGGACGACCAACCAUAACUUAUGCGGUGGCCCAAAAUCUGGACCCCAACAGCGAAGGAAGAGGGGUGCUGCAGUUAAAGACUGGGUUAAUGUCAGUAAUCAGGGUAUGAGCUACUACUCACCUCAUCUCUUUCCCGUCUUUGGGGUGAAUAUACUACUAUUAUAUUAUUGCAUGACCAUUCGGACACACUUACCUAUGCUACCAGUCACCAACUAGUCUAGGUCACAUAUGUUCGACUGUAGACGCUCUAAAAUGUACUGUUUAUGGGAACAUUUAUUUAGUAAGCUAAUAAUAAUUUACCUUUUUUAUGGACACACUAAUCUGUUUUUCUGUUAUCUGAAUCCACCCACAACGCAUACACAUGUGCAAUUCUGACAACGCAUAAAACUGAUCUUGGAUUGAAUGUUAAGCAUUGCCAUUCUUUUGCUAGUUUGCCAGAGUAAUGUGUUAGUUCAUGCAAGACCAAACGCCCUCACCCAUAAUAAUGCGAUGGUUUCGAUUAUCAUGUAGGAGUAAUGUGUUAGUUCAUGCAAAACCAAACGCCCUCACCCAUAAUAAUGCGAUGGUUUCGAUUAUCAUGUAGGAGUAAUGUGUUAGUUCAUGCAAAACCAAACGCCCUCACCCAUAAUAAUGCGAUGGUUUCGAUUAUCAUGUAGGAGUAAUGUGUUAGUUCAUGCAAGACCAUGAACCCUGGCUAGUGGGGACUGAGCUUGGGUGAAUAAACUGCACCUGCCUUUGGUAGGUGUAGUAAGUCACUGAAGCUGGCGUCCGGCUAGUUGGCGAUCACGGGACGCAUUGUAGCCUGACUGAGGCAUUUGAUUUCAACCAUGCAUUUGAUUUCCAUCCCGGCCCAUUCCCCAGAGCCGGCUGGAUCACAUGCUGACAUGCACCAGUGGUGCGCUGCUAGCCCUUUCAUCCCUAUUCCCUAGACUUUGCUCAUCCCUUCAAUGAAGAAAAUAUG